UUUAUCAACAAGAGGAUUCAAGAGAGUUCUAGAGAGAAAGGAAGAGAAGAAACUUGAAGCUAGAGAAAGAAUAGGUUCGGCCAAGGGAAAAAAAAGGUAAGUCUCCGAUUUUGCUUCGUGAAUUAAUUAUCUAGGGUGUACCAAGGUGUUAUGAAGGUAUUGGUAACGUAAAUUUAUGGUUUGGAGCAGCCCAAAAACGUCACCGAACAGCCCCAAAGUUUUAGCCGCGCUAGGAGAGCUUCCGAGGCAAGUUUUGGAGAGUUUCGGGAAAGACUAACAAGUUGGAAGAAUAAGAAAAGCUAGUAAGGCGCGGUACAGGUACACCUAGACAAGUAGAAGCUAUUAUAGAAGAUGUUCCAGCGGAGUUAGCAACUCCACUUGUUCCUGGGGUGCUGCCGAGUCAGAUUAUAAACGCUAUGAUGUUUCAUUCGAAGUUAGAAACCUUGCAGACAGAGUCGUGGGUAUAGAGUGUCAGCUUUGUAAGCAGCGUCACCAGCCGAUAUGUUAUUAUGUAGUAUGUCACGAGUUUUAUGGGAUGAUAGAUUGGGAAAGCUUAGCUAUGUUUUUUUUAUUUCUUAUUGAUGUAAAAGUCUAAAUAGAUUAAGUAUGUACUAUGAGUUAGCGGGUUCGCUCGGCUCCGAGCAUGGGGUCGGGUGCCCAUCACACCCUCUUGAGAUCGGGGUGUGACAACCUUGUUAAUUAUUAUCGAUCUAACUUUUGAUCACGCUUUAGGCGUAGUUAAUGAAUUAAAAUAUAGGCAUAUGUUGUCAAACAAAUUAGCCUUUCUCGAUCUGUGAAAAUUUGCCCAAUAUAUUUAAAUCAGAUUUCUGACAUGCAAAGAUUUACACUGUAUAUGAGAAGAUUUUAUGUAAGAAAAGUAAAGCUAGCGCAAUAACUUAAAGGAUUCGCGCUUACUCACCGAGCUAACCAUUGAUAAUCAAAAGUAAAGUUGUCAAUACGGGCUGGCCCAGCACAUCCGAACUAGCCCAUACAUGCUUUGAAACUGUAUGAGUCAAGUCAGACUGACCCAUUAUUUUAACGAGCCAAAAAACACUUGGCCCAACUCACAACUAAGUGGGCUACGGAUCGAGCCGAGCCAGCCUACUUUUUUGAAAAGAUUAUAUUUUUUAUAAUUUAAAUUUAAAUUUUAAAAUGU